UUUUUUAUUUUAUUUUUUCUUUUUUCACACAUGGAUCACUCUUAGACUAAGUGCAUUGGUAAAAUAUUUGCUUACUGGCAAUUAACACAUGUAUUCUAUGUCUCUGCAUAGUUACCAAAAUGGCAAACCUCAGGAAAUCUUUGAUGUUCCACUUAAUCUUUGUUCUAACUUAAUUGCUUUGUGUCUAUGAGGGCUGCUCCAAAAGUAUUGCCCCCCAUUUUAUUACGUUUUCUCACAAAGUCAGAGACAAGUGUUAGUGGUUUGGCAGCAGAGGCUGAACCAUCUUACCACUAUUUCAUUACAUGUUGUUGCCAUGUUGAUGACAGUGACAGUGGGUCACCUCUCCUGGAGCAGAUUUUUAUGAGCAGGCUCUUGUUCAUCACUGGCAAAAACGUACAGUCAAUGGUGAUGACUGUGUUGAAAAACAGUUUUCUAGCUGAGAAUUUGCUCAUGAAAUAAUGUUAUUGUGCUCUCUGUAUCUGUUGUAGUUUCAAUAGAAAUAAAUAGAUAUUACUUUCAGAGUGACCUACGCAUUUUGCCUCUAUUACCCUGCUUUCAUACCUGUAUCUCUUCACUGAGUUAUAGAAACAGACAGCAUAAAAUAAAUAACUCUUUAGUUUUGGCCAACACAGCAUUUUCUGUAUUUAGUCAGGCAGUUUCUUUAAAAAAAAAAUCAGGUUUGUACCAGGAUUCUAUCAGUCUGGAUAAGUAAAUAAUCACCUAAGAAUUUCCUGUCACUAUGCUCACAUAUUCUAGGUUUGAAAGCAAGAAGAUUUUGGGGGGUAAAUUGUAUAAAUUUGGUGCUGUUUCUUCCUAGUCCAAUAUUUAAAGAGAGGAUAUUCCACAUAAAAAAUAUUAUUUUGUCACCGGUAGUUCAUCCCAUUUGUUUUUUGGUAUAUUGACAUGCUUUUGGUUUAGGGAUUGCUUUCUUCACAAACUGCAGAGGAGAGUUAAUCACAGGCCAUAUUCUGAUGAAGUUCCUGUCCUCAAUAAACUCCAGGACACAGUAUUUCACUAAGGUAUUGUUGCUUUGCUAUGUGAGAACAAAGGCUAGAACACAGGGAAUAGUCCAAGCCUUAGAGCUGAGGCCAGGGGAUGUUAACAAGGGGAUUAGGAACUAUUUGGCAGCAGGUCCAAAAUCUCUGGUUUAUCUCUGAAAAAUUAAGAGCCUGGAACAAAUUAUUCAGCUCAGAAGAAUUGGAACAAAACUCCCAUGUCCCUAACAGUGAGAGGGUGAGCAAUGUCCUGGUCUCAGAAAUAUUCAUCAACUUCAAGCUUGCCAGUCUGAAUGACAAGUUUGUUAAGUAACAAGGAUGCCAAAAUACAGCUUUAUUCUGGGAAAUCGCCUCUCCUGUCACCUGGAGAAUAGCACAGAAUUCUGCUUUGAGAGGAUCUGACACUUCAUCUCUCACCUUAGGGAGUAAUUGUUGGCUUGCAGUUAUUGCCUGUUGUUUUGACUGUGGUAGACACCUACAAUAAAAUGUAUAUGCUACCUGACUGAUGCUUGUUGAAAUAGCUUUAGUAUCCAAUCAUUAAGCUCUCUUUUUCUUAGUUUUGCAAAAAGUUUUAUUUAUUUGGGAUGCAGAGUCAAGGUCCCUGAUUCAAAAUUUAUGUGCGUAAAAGCUCUUGGCAGCAGAUCUCAAGCAUUUCUGCAAGUACUUUUAACAAAAUAACUUUUUAAAGGGCCAAAGCAAAAACGUGCCCCUUCUGGUAAAAAUAUGUGGUACAGCAGAAAUAAAAUGUAUAUAGUGAAGCGCUAGUCUUAAACUUUUCUAAAAGCUUGAGAAACUCAGAGGUCAAGAUAAAAUUCAGUCUUCUGAUUACUGGCUUGAAGUACAGUGCCUGUAGAAAGACUUUUUUUUUUUUUUUUUUUUUUUCCCAUAUUUUCCUAUUGGCCUCAGUGUCACUUGCAGAUGUAAACAAUUGUUUGGUUGGAAUGGUUGGAAAAAAGGGCUUCUGACAGGUACCAAAGCUUCAUUACCUAAAGCAGAAUGGCAGAGAAAGAAGGAAGAUACUUUUAUUUACCCACCAGAUUCCCACCUUUGCAAACGCGUGUGUAUUUUAUGAGUUUGAAAGGUGCUAUGUAAUUCCUUGUGAUUGUGAUGACUCUUUAAUUAAGAAAGAGCUUACUAAAUCUCUACAAAGUUAUUUUAAUUAUAAAUUUUUAAUGAUAAAUUUGAUU
ensembl:lncRNA